GUGCUCGCUUCGGCAGCACAUGUACUAAAACUGGAAUGAUACAGAGAUGAGCGUGGUCCCUGCACAAGGAUGACAUGCACAUUCAUGAAGUGUUCUAUAUCUAA
ensembl:snRNA U6 U6 spliceosomal RNA